UCGUGAGAUGUUGGGUUAAGUCCCGUAACGAGCGCAACCCUUGUCCUUAGUUACCAGCACGUUAUGGUGGGCACUCUAAGGAGACUGCCGGUGACAAACCGGAGGAAGGUGGGGAUGACGUCAAGUCAUCAUGGCCCUUACGGCCUGGGCUACACACGUGCUACAAUGGUCGGUACAAAGGGUUGCCAAGCCGCGAGGUGGAGCUAAUCCCAUAAAACCGAUCGUAGUCCGGAUCGCAGUCUGCAACUCGACUGCGUGAAGUCGGAAUCGCUAGUAAUCGUGAAUCAGAAUGCCACGGUGAAUACGUUCCCGGGCCUU
rnacentral:rRNA from 1 species